rnacentral:rRNA from 1 species
UACGUAGGGUGCAAGCGUUAAUCGGAAUUACUGGGCGUAAAGCGUGCGCAGGCGGUUUUGUAAGUUUGUCGUUGAAAGCCCCGGGCUCAACCUGGGAAUUGCGAUGAAGACUGCAAGGCUUGAAUCUGGCAGAGGGGGGUAGAAUUCCACGUGUAGCAGUGAAAUGCGUAGAGAUGUGGAGGAACACCGAUGGCGAAGGCAGCCCCCUGGGUCAAGAUUGACGCUCAUGCACGAAAGCGUGGGGAGCAAACAGG